UUUGUUUUCCACUCUUUCUUUCUCUCUUUUUCUCUCUUUUCCUCUCUUUUCUGUUGGACUUUCUCAAACAAAAAGAAAAGAAAAGGAAGGAAGGA
rnacentral:ribozyme from 14 species